rnacentral:rRNA from 1 species
UGAGGAAUAUUGGUCAAUGGGCGCAAGCCUGAACCAGCCAUCCCGCGUGCAGGAAGACGGCGCUAUGCGUUGUAAACUGCUUUUCCAGGGGGAGAAACUUGCGCACGUGUUGCGCAAUUGACGGUACCCUGGGAAUAAGCAUCGGCUAACUCCGUG